rnacentral:rRNA from 1 species
CCGGCACGGGUGAGUAACACGUAUCCAACCUGCCGUCUACUCUUGGACAGCCUUCUGAAAGGAAAGAUUAAUACAAGAUGGCAUCAUGAGUCCGCAUGUUCACAUGAUUAAAGGUAUUCCGGUAGACGAUGGGGAUGCGUUCCAUUAGAUAGUAGGCGGGGUAACGGCCCACCUAGUCUUCGAUGGAUAGGGGUUCUGAGAGGAAGGUCCCCCACAUUGGAACUGAGACACGGUCCAA